rnacentral:pre_miRNA from 1 species
UUAACUCAAAUUUGUAUGGAGUUGGAAUUUUUUCCUUUGUUUGCCGCUAGGGGCGCUGUUUCUGUAUACAAACUACAUAGAAAUUUGAGUUA